AUUGAACGCUGGCGGCAGGCCUAACACAUGCAAGUCGAGCGGCAGCGGGAAAGUAGCUUGCUACUUUUGCCGGCGAGCGGCGGACGGGUGAGUAAUGCCCGGGAAAUUGCCCAGUCGAGGGGGAUAACAGUUGGAAACGACUGCUAAUACCGCAUACGCCCUACGGGGGAAAGCAGGGGACCUUCGGGCCUUGCGCGAUUGGAUAUGCCCAGGUGGGAUUAGCUAGUUGGUGAGGUAAUGGCUCACCAAGGCGACGAUCCCUAGCUGGUCUGGGAGGAUGAUCAGCCACACUGGAACUGGGAAGCGGUCCAGAGUCCAACGGGAGGCAGCAGUGGGGAAUAUUGCACAAUGGGGGAAACCCUGAUGCAGCCGUGCCGCGUGUGUGAAGAAGGCCUUCGGGUUGUAAAGCACUUUCAGCGAGGAGGAAAGGUUGAUGCCUAAUACGUAUCAACUGUGACGUUACUCGCAGAAGAAGCACCGGCUAACUCCGUGCCAGCAGCCGCCGUAA
rnacentral:rRNA from 1 species